CAGUAGCCGCGGGAAUACAGAGGGUGCGAGCGUUAAUCGGAUUUACUGGGCGUAAAGGGCUCGUAGGUGGUGUGUCGCGUCGUCUGUGUAAUCCAGGGGCUUAACUUUUGGUUGGCAGGCGAUACGGGCAUUGCUUGAGUGCUGUAGGGGAGACUGGAAUUCCUGGUGUAGCGGUGAAAUGCGCAGAUAUCAGGAGGAACACCGAUGGCGAAGGCAGGUCUCUGGGCAGUUACUGACGCUGAGGAGCGAGAGCAUGGGUAGCGAACAGGAUUAGAUACCCCGGUAGUCCCUGUCUCUUAUA
rnacentral:rRNA from 1 species